rnacentral:rRNA from 1 species
UCCAGCAGCGAUAGCGCGUUGAAUGCCCAAGUUCCCCAUGGAUCACUGAAGAACCAACGUUGGGCGUGGUUGGUAUCCGGAUGGGUGACCAUCUGAGAUUAAUGUGAGUGUAGCUGGUC